rfam:Oryza meridionalis cultivar OR44 (W2112) chromosome 4, whole genome shotgun sequence.
AAAGACUGCAGUUUUGCACUAUUUAUAUCUAACAUUUGACCGUCCGUCCUAUUUAAAAAGAAAAUUUGAUUAGUACUUUUAUUGUUAUUAGAUGGUAAAACAUAAAUAAUAUUUUAUGUGUGACUAAUUUUUUAAUUUUUUCAUAAAUUUUUGAAAUAAGACGGACGGUCAACGUUGGAUACGGACCCCACAACUGCACUUAAA